GCCCGGUUAGUUCAGUCGGUAGAGCAUCAGACUUUUAAUCUGAGGGUCGCGGGUUCGAGUCCCUCAUCGGGCG
rnacentral:tRNA from 1 species